rnacentral:rRNA from 1 species
GAUGAACGCUGGCGGCGUGCCUAAUACAUGCAAGUCGAACGCUGGAGAUCUAGCUUGCUAGAUCGAAGGAGUGGCGAACGGGUGAGUAAUACAUAAGCAACCUACCCACGAAGACUGGGAUAAUCUCUGGAAACGGGGACUAAUACCGGAUAGGUAAUCGGAAGGCAUCUUCUGGUUAUUAAAGGUUAAAAACACUGGUGGAUGGGCUUAUGGCGCAUUAGUUAGUUGGUGAGGUAACGGCCCACCAAGACGAUGAUGCGUAGCCGGCCUGAGAGGGUGAACGGCCACAUUGGGACUGAGACACGGCCCAGACUCCUACAGGAGGCAGCAGUAGGGAAUUUUCGGCAAUGGGGGCAACCCUGACCGAGCAACGCCGCGUGAGUGAAGACGGCCUUCGGGUUGUAAAGCUCUGUUGUAAGGGAAGAACGGUAGAUAGAGAAUAUCUAAGUGACGGUACCUUACCAGAAAGCCACGGCUAACUACGUG